rnacentral:rRNA from 1 species
AUGAAAGAGGCGAUCAGAAUGGUACCCGAAUCCAUUUACAAUCCCGAGUUUCCAGACACAUCGCACUUCCGCUCGGGUCGAGGCUGCCACUCGGCCCUCAGACGGAUCAAAGAAGAGUGGGGAACCUCUCGCUGGUUUUUGGAAUUCGACAUCAGGAAGUGUUUUCACACCAUCGACCGACAUCGAUUCAUCUCAAUCUUGAAGCAAGAGAUCGACGAUUCCAAGUUCUUUUACCCCACUCAGAAAAAGUUUUCCGCCAGACGACUCGUAGGGGGUGAGAAGGGCCCUGACUCCAUCCCAAACAGUGUACUACUAUCGGCCCUACCAGGCAAUAUCUACCUACACAAGCUCGAUCAGGAGAUAGGGAGGAUCCGGUAG